rnacentral:tRNA from 1 species
CAGGCUGGUUCUUUAGAGUUGAGUAUUCAUUUACGCUGAAUUGGUCAUCGUGCGAUUCGAUGCGGCUUGA